rnacentral:rRNA from 1 species
AUUGAACGCUGGCGGCAUGCCUUACACAUGCAAGUCGAACGGCAGCACGGACUUCGGUCUGGUGGCGAGUGGCGAACGGGUGAGUAAUAUAUCGGAACAUACCUUGUAGUGGGGGAUAACUAUCCGAAAGGAUAGCUAAUACCGCAUACGCUCUAAGGAGGAAAGUGGGGGAUCUUAGGACCUCAUGCUAUAAGAGUGGCCGAUAUCUGAUUAGCUAGUUGGUGAGGUAAAGGCUCACCAAGGCGACGAUCAGUAGCUGGUCUGAGAGGACGACCAGCCACACUGGAACUGAGACACGGUCCAGACUCCUACGGGAGGCAGCAGUGGGGAAUUUUGGACAAUGGGGGCAACCCUGAUCCAGCAAUGCCGCGUGAGUGAAGAAGGCCUUCGGGUUGUAAAGCUCUUUUGUCAGGGAAGAAACGGUUGUGGCUAAUAUCCAUGGCUAAUGACGGUACCUGAAGAAUAAGCACCGGCUAACUACGUGCCAGCAGCCGCCGUAA